rnacentral:rRNA from 1 species
UGCGCAGGCGGCCAAGUGUGUUAGGCGUGAAAGCCCGGGGCUUAACCCCGGAAUUGCACCUAAAACUACAUGGCUAGAGCAUUGGAGAGGGUAGCGGAAUUCACGGUGUAGCAGUGAAAUGCGUAGAUAUCGUGAGGAACACCAGAGGCGAAGGCGGCUACCUGGACAAUUGCUGACGCUCAGGCACGAAAGCGUGGGGAGCAAAAGGGAUUAGAUACCCCUGUAGUCCACGCCCUAAACGGUGCACACUAGGUCUUGGCGGAUUCGACCCCACCAGGGCCCAAGCUAACGCGUUAAGUGUGCCGCCUGAGGACUACGGUCGCAAGACUAAA